rnacentral:sRNA from 1 species
CCGUGUCCAGGGUCCUGGGCCGCGACCUGGUUCUCCCGGAGUCUACAAGUGGAGCCUUUCAAGCUGUCAUGGAGAGCUUAAGGGGCGACUGAAGGAGACACGCUGGCCAAGCGCGGAAUUCUGGUUACUUCAGUCCUGCUGAGAUAUUCUCUCAGUCCGCUCACACUGAAGGAAGCUGCCUUGGGAUCAGAGCAGACAUAAAGCUAGACAGAUUUCGAGAUGAAAUUGAAAUGGCCAAUGAGCACACGCUCAUUCAUCCAACGAGCAUUGAGGACCCCCUAGAGGCCAGGCCCAUGAGUGAUGAAGAUCCCGAGGAUGAAGACGCCUUGCCAGCCAGCUUUGCUGUGCUCUGAGCAUGACUAAACUAAAAGUAAUGAAUCCAGACCUUGAAGACUGGUGUGUGUGUAAAAGGAAAGAAGUGAGAAGAUUCAUGUGUAGAUCCAGGACAAUCUGAAUUUACUUCUGUUCAGUAUUUCCCAAAGGCUUUUUCUACAUGGAGGGACUUGGAGUGACACAGCAGCUCCCUCUUGUGGGCAGAUUCCCCCGUGUAAGGUGCUGGAGGCUGAGGUUCCAGCCUGCAGCC